AAGGUGCCGGAGAGUUAUGUCUCCGGAUAAUAGGGAAACAGGUGUAAGUCCUGUACGAUCUCGUCACUGUAAGCGGGGAGCGGAAUAUCAAGAAGUCACUGGGCAUCCGGGAAGACGAUAUUUCGCAGUGAGCCGUAAGCCAGGAAACCUGCCUUUUGC
rnacentral:ncRNA from 1 species